AGCAGCUUGGUGCUUGUCUACAUGGGGAGGUUAGUGCGCGGUAAGCUAGGGUGUGAGCUGACAGCACGCUAGCUGCUCUGCACUGACUGCCCCUGUGGAUGCUGAGUGUGCACUGCGA
rnacentral:precursor_RNA from 7 species